GGACUGGAUCCGCACGUGUGCAGGUUUUAUUUAAGGCUCCGGAGACCUUUACGUUCCAAAGAUAUCAACAGGCCUGAGUGCAGUGAAUGCUACCCUUUGCUGUUGACUAUAAUUAACUCCCCCAGCACCAUUUAGGAAUCGUUGUGCUGUGUAAUUUUUGUGCUUAAGAAGUAUCCUGAGUACAAGAGUUAAAAGCCUGACCUCUGGAAGUGGAUUUCCUCUGCACGGCUCCGUUUCCUUACCUGCAAUAUGAAGCUACUGCAAGCAUGUACUCAAAGAGGCCAGAAGAGGGCAUCGGAUGCCUUGGAGCUGGGCUUACAGGCACGCUGGAACUGCGUCCUCUGGAAAGUCAGGAGCUGAUCUUCUGACAGCUGAGCCACCUCUCCAGCCCUUCCUGAGCUCUUAAAGAUUAAGAUUACCUAAAAGGAAUGAACUGAUAUUAAAAUUAUAAUUCUGACUUUCU